GACGAACCGAGCGAACGUUGUUCGGAAUCACUGGGCUUAAAGGGCGCGUAGGCGGCUUGUCGCGUCGACUGUGAAAACCCGCGGCUCAACCGCGGGCCUGCAGCCGAUACGGGCAGGCUAGAGUUCGGUAGGGGAGGACUGGAAUUCCUGGUGUAGCGGUGAAAUGCGCAGAUAUCAGGAGGAACACCGGUGGCGAAGGCGGCAUCCUGGACCGGCAUUGACGCUGAGGCGCGAAAGCUAGGGGAGCAAACGGG
rnacentral:rRNA from 1 species